rnacentral:rRNA from 1 species
UACAGAGGGUGCGAGCGUUAAUCGGAAUUACUGGGCGUAAAGGGCUCGUAGGCGGCCAACUAAGUCGGACGUGAAAUCCCCAGGCUCAACCUGGGAACUGCGUCCGAUACUGGAUGGCUUGAAUCCGGGAGAGGGAUGCAGAAUUCCAGGUGUAGCGGUGAAAUGCGUAGAUAUCUGGAGGAAUACCGGUGGCGAAGGCGGCAUCCUGGACCGACAUUGACGCUGAUGAGCGAAAGCUAGGGGAGCAAACGGG